GGUUAUCUUCACCGUCAGGAGAAGGAACACACAGGCACAACUAGGAGACCCAUGUCUACCUCUGCAAAUUUCUGGUGAAUGUGAUGGCUGUGUGGCUUCUCCAGGUGUCCAUGCACUGUAGAAGAAGAGCUGAGCUUCCUAGGAAUGCUGCGUUCCGCUUCUCCAAAGACCCCACUGUUCUGCUGUCAUUCAUCAUAUGCUAUCAGGUGUUGGUUGGAGCUGGUUGGGCAUUUAUCCAGGUAUUGGUUAUCUUCACCGUCAGGAGAAGGAACACACAGGCACAACUAGGAGACCCAUGUCUACCUCUGCAAAUUUCUGGUGAAUGUGAUGGCUGUGUGGCUUCUCCAGGUGUCCAUGCACUGUAGAAGAAGAGCUGAGCUUCCUAGGAAUGCUGCGUUCCGCUUCUCCAAAGACCCCACUGUUCUGCUGUCAUUCAUCAUAUGCUAUCAGGUGUUGGUUGGAGCUGGUUGGGCAUUUAUCCAGGUAUUGGUUAUCUUCACCGUCAGGAGAAGGAACACACAGGCACAACUAGGAGACCCAUGUCUACCUCUGCAAAUUUCUGGUGAAUGUGAUGGCUGUGUGGCUUCUCCAGGUGUCCAUGCACUGUAGAAGAAGAGCUGAGCUUCCUAGGAAUGCUGCGUUCCGCUUCUCCAAAGACCCCACUGUUCUGCUGUCAUUCAUCAUAUGCUAUCAGGUGUUGGUUGGAGCUGGUUGGGCAUUUAUCCAGGUAUUGGUUAUCUUCACCGUCAGGAGAAGGAACACACAGGCACAACUAGGAGACCCAUGUCUACCUCUGCAAAUUUCUGGUGAAUGUGAUGGCUGUGUGGCUUCUCCAGGUGUCCAUGCACUGUAGAAGAAGAGCUGAGCUUCCUAGGAAUGCUGCGUUCCGCUUCUCCAAAGACCCCACUGUUCUGCUGUCAUUCAUCAUAUGCUAUCAGGUGUUGGUUGGAGCUGGUUGGGCAUUUAUCCAGGUAUUGGUUAUCUUCACCGUCAGGAGAAGGAACACACAGGCACAACUAGGAGACCCAUGUCUACCUCUGCAAAUUUCUGGUGAAUGUGAUGGCUGUGUGGCUUCUCCAGGUGUCCAUGCACUGUAGAAGAAGAGCUGAGCUUCCUAGGAAUGCUGCGUUCCGCUUCUCCAAAGACCCCACUGUUCUGCUGUCAUUCAUCAUAUGCUAUCAGGUGUUGGUUGGAGCUGGUUGGGCAUUUAUCCAGGUAUUGGUUAUCUUCACCGUCAGGAGAAGGAACACACAGGCACAACUAGGAGACCCAUGUCUACCUCUGCAAAUUUCUGGUGAAUGUGAUGGCUGUGUGGCUUCUCCAGGUGUCCAUGCACUGUAGAAGAAGAGCUGAGCUUCCUAGGAAUGCUGCGUUCCGCUUCUCCAAAGACCCCACUGUUCUGCUGUCAUUCAUCAUAUGCUAUCAGGUGUUGGUUGGAGCUGGUUGGGCAUUUAUCCAGGUAUUGGUUAUCUUCACCGUCAGGAGAAGGAACACACAGGCACAACUAGGAGACCCAUGUCUACCUCUGCAAAUUUCUGGUGAAUGUGAUGGCUGUGUGGCUUCUCCAGGUGUCCAUGCACUGUAGAAGAAGAGCUGAGCUUCCUAGGAAUGCUGCGUUCCGCUUCUCCAAAGACCCCACUGUUCUGCUGUCAUUCAUCAUAUGCUAUCAGGUGUUGGUUGGAGCUGGUUGGGCAUUUAUCCAGGUAUUGGUUAUCUUCACCGUCAGGAGAAGGAACACACAGGCACAACUAGGAGACCCAUGUCUACCUCUGCAAAUUUCUGGUGAAUGUGAUGGCUGUGUGGCUUCUCCAGGUGUCCAUGCACUGUAGAAGAAGAGCUGAGCUUCCUAGGAAUGCUGCGUUCCGCUUCUCCAAAGACCCCACUGUUCUGCUGUCAUUCAUCAUAUGCUAUCAGGUGUUGGUUGGAGCUGGUUGGGCAUUUA